rnacentral:rRNA from 1 species
AUACGUAGGUGGCAAGCGUUGUCCGGAUUUACUGGGUGUAAGGGCGUGCAGCCGGGGAAGCAAGUCAGGUGUGAAAUGCAGAGGCUUAACCUCUGAAUUGCAUUUGAAACUGUUUUUCUUGAGUACUGGAGGGGCAAUCGGAAUUCCUAGUGUAGCGGUGAAAUGCGUAGAUAUUAGGAGGAACACCAGUGGCGAAGGCGGAUUGCUGGACAGCAACUGACGGUGAGGCGCGAAAGUGUGGGGAGCAAACAGGAUUAGAUACCCUGGUAGUCCACACCGUAAACGAUGAGCACUAGGUGUCGGGCUCGCAAGAGUUCGGUGCCGCAGUUAACGCAUUAAGUGCUCCGCCUGGGGAGUACGUACGCAAGUAUGAAACUCAAAUGAAUUGACGGGG